CUACAGCUAAUACCGCAUGACACCUGAGGGUCAAAGGCGCAAGUCGCCUGCGGAGGAGCCUGCGUCCGAUUAGCUAGUUGGUGGGGUAAAGGCCUACCAAGGCGACGAUCGGUAGCUGGUCUGAGAGGAUGAUCAGCCACACUGGGACUGAGACACGGCCCAGACUCCUACGGGAGGCAGCAGUGGGGAAUAUUGGACAAUGGGCGCAAGCCUGAUCCAGCAAUGCCGCGUGGGUGAAGAAGGUCUUCGGAUUGUAAAGCCCUUUCGGCGGGGACGAUGAUGACGGUACCCGCAGAAGAAGCCCCGGCUAACUUCGUGCCAGCAGCCGCGGUAAUACGAAGGGGGCUAGCGUUGCUCGGAAUGACUGGGCGUAAAGGGCGCGUAGGCGGUUUGCACAGUCAGACGUGAAAUUCCCGGGCUUAACCUGGGGCUGCGUUUGAUACGUGCA
rnacentral:rRNA from 1 species